CACGUAGGGUGCGAGCGUUGUCCGGAAUUAUUGGGCGUAAAGGGCGCGUAGGCGGCCUGGCAAGUGACGGGUGAAAGCCCUCGGCUUAACCGAGGAACUGCCUGUCAGACUGUUAGGCUUGAGACCGGGAGAGGUGAGUGGAAUUCCCAGUGUAGCGGUGAAAUGCGUAGAUAUUGGGAGGAACACCAGUGGCGAAGGCGGCUCACUGGACCGGUACUGACGCUGAGGCGCGAAAGCGUGGGGAGCAAACAGG
rnacentral:rRNA from 1 species